rnacentral:tRNA from 1 species
GUAGAGAUGGCUCAGUGGUUAAGAGCACUGGCUGCUCUUCUAGAGGUCCUGAGUUCAAAUCCCAGUAACCACA